rnacentral:rRNA from 1 species
CCUACGGGCGGCAGCAGUGGGGAAUAUUGCACAAUGGGCGCAAGCCUGAUGCAGCUAUGCCGCGUGUAUGAAGAAGGCCUUCGGGUUGUAAAGUACUUUCAGUCGGGAGGAAGGUGGUGAGCUUAAUACGCACAUCAAUUGACGUUACCGACAGAAGAAGCACCGGCUAACUCCGUGCCAGCAGCCGCGGUAAUACGGAGGGUGCAAGCGUUAAUCGGAAUUACUGGGCGUAAAGCGCACGCAGGCGGUUGAUUGAGUCAGAUGUGAAAUCCCCGGGCUUAACCCGGGAAUUGCAUCUGAUACUGGUCAGCUAGAGUCUUGUAGAGGGGGGUAGAAUUCCAUGUGUAGCGGUGAAAUGCGUAGAGAUGCGGAGGAAUACCGGUGGCGAAGGCGGCCCCCUGGACAAAGACUGACGCUCAGGUGCGAAAGCGCGGGGAGCAAACAGGAUUAGAUACCCUCGUAGUC